rnacentral:rRNA from 1 species
GCUUAACACAUGCAAGUCGAACGGACAGUUAUUUAUAGCCUCGGCUAUGAGUAUCUGUUAGUGGCAGACGGGUGAGUAAUGCGUAGGAAUCUACCUAGUAGUAUGGAAUAGCUAUUAGAAAUGAUAGGUAAUACUGUAUAAUCCCUGCGGGGGAAAGAUUUAUCGCUAUUAGAUGAGCCUACGUUAGAUUAGCUAGUUGGUAAGGUAAUGGCUUACCAAGGCAAUGAUCUAUAGCUGGUCUGAGAGGACGAUCAGCCACACUGGAACUGAGAUACGGUCCAGACUCCUACGGGAGGCAGCAGUGGGGAAUAUUGGACAAUGGG